AUGGCGGAGGGGCAGGGGAGCGGAUCGGGCACCCAGGAACAGGAAGACGAUACCAGCAGGCUGCUUGAGAGAUUGAACCUAGAGGAAGAUGAAGCAGAUGACCUAGUCUGGGAAGAUGAAAUUGAUGCGGACGAGAUUAAACCGAAGUGGCUUGCCCUAGGGCGGGUUCUGACGAUGAAAAGUUUUAGCCAGAGUGCCCUGAUCGCGGAGAUGAAGGCGGCGUGGAAUCCUGCCCAACCGGUGGUUUGGAGAAGGAUCAAAGCAAACCUCUUUUCUAUUCAAUUCAGCUGUCUGGCGGACUGG
rnacentral:rRNA from 1 species